GAUGAACGCUAGCUACAGGCUUAACACAUGCAAGUCGAGGGGAAACGGCAUUGAGUGCUUGCACUCCUUGGACGUCGACCGGCGCACGGGUGAGUAACGCGUAUCCAACCUUCCCAUUACUGUGGGAUAACCUGCCGAAAGGCAGACUAAUACCGCAUAGUCUUCGAUGACGGCAUCAGAUUUGAAGUAAAGAUUUAUCGGUAAUGGAUGGGGAUGCGUCUGAUUAGCUUGUUGGCGGGGUAACGGCCCACCAAGGCUACGAUCAGUAGGGGUUCUGAGAGGAAGGUCCCCCACAUUGGAACUGAGACACGGUCCAAACUCCUACGGGAGGCAGCAGUGAGGAAUAUUGGUCAAUGGACGGAAGUCUGAACCAGCCAAGUAGCGUGCAGGAUGACGGCCCUAUGGGUUGUAAACUGCUUUUGUAUGGGGAUAAAGUUAGGGACGUGUCCCUAUUUGCAGGUACCAUACGAAUAAGGACCGGCUAAUUCCGUG
rnacentral:rRNA from 1 species